rnacentral:rRNA from 1 species
AGAGUUUGAUCAUGGCUCAGAACGAACGCUGGCGGCGUGGAUAAGACAUGCAAGUCGAGCGACGAUUACGAGGUAGCAAUAUUUCGUAGUUGGAGCGGCGCAAGGGUGCGUAACACGUGGGUAAUCUGCCAUGAAGUUUGGGAUAACUUGCUGAAAGGCGAGCUAAUACCGGAUGUGACAACUGGGAGGCAUCUUUUGGUUGUUAAAGUUGGGGACCGCAAGGCCUGACGCUUCAUGAUGAGCCCGCGGCCUAUCAGCUAGUUGGUGAGGUAACGGCUCACCAAGGCUAAGACGGGUAGCUGGUCUGAGAGGACGACCAGCCACACUGGAACUGAGACACGGUCCAGACACCUACGGGUGGCAGCAGUCGAGAAUUUUUCACAAUGGGCGCAAGCCUGAUGGAGCGACGCCGCGUGGGGGAUGAAUGGCUUCGGCCCGUAAACCCCUGUCAUUUGCGAUCAAACCUCGGUAUUUAAAAGAUGCCGAGCUGAUAGUAGCGAAAGAGGAAGGGACGGCUAACUCUGUGCCAGCAGCCGCGGUAAUACAGAGGUCCCGAGCGUUGUUCGGAUUCACUGGGCGUAAAGGGUGCGUAGGUGGUGGGAUAAGUCGGAUGUGAAAUCUCGGAGCUUAACUCCGAAACUGCAUUGGAAACUGUCCUGCUAGAGGGUUGGAGGGGGGACUGGAAUACUUGGUGUAGCAGUGAAAUGCGUAGAUAUCAAGUGGAACACCGGUGGCGAAGGCGAGUCCCUGGACAACACCUGACACUGAGGCACGAAAGCUAGGGGAGCAAACAGGAUUAGAUACCCUAGUAGUCC